GACGAACGCUGGCGGCGUGCUCAACACAUGCAAGUCGAACGGUAAGGCCCUUCGGGGUACACGAGUGGCGAACGGGUGAGUAACACGUGGGUGAUCUGCCCUGCACUUCGGGAUAAGCCUGGGAAACUGGGUCUAAUACCGGAUAGGACUCCGGACUGCAUGGUCUGGGGUGGAAAGCUUUUGCGGUGUGGGAUGGGCCCGCGGCCUAUCAGCUUGUGGGUGGGGUGAUUGCCUACCAAGGCGACGACGGGUAGCCGGCCUGAGAGGGUGACCGGCCACACUGGGACUGAGAUACGGCCCAGACGCCUACGGGAGGCAGCAGUGGGGAAUAUUGCACAAUGGGCGCAAGCCUGAUGCAGCGACGCCGCGUGAGGGAUGACGGCCUUCGGGUUGUAAACCUCUUUCAGCAUCGACGAAGCGCAAGUGACGGUAGGUGCAGAAGAAGGACCGGCCAACUACGUGCCAGCCGCCGCGGUAA
rnacentral:rRNA from 1 species